rnacentral:sRNA from 1 species
GUCGAGGCGAUGGCCAGCGGGUUUUCCUGGCCGUCGACGGUGCCGGUGCU